CAAGCCUGAUGCAGCCAUGCCGCGUGUAUGAAGAAGGCCUUCGGGUUGUAAAGUACUUUCAGCAGUGAGGAAGGAGGUAUCGUUAAUAGCGGUAUCUUUUGACGUUAGCUGCAGAAGAAGCACCGGCUAACUCCGUGCCAGCAGCCGCGGUAAUACGGAGGGUGCGAGCGUUAAUCGGAAUUACUGGGCGUAAAGCGCAUGCAGGUGGUUUGUUAAGUCAGAUGUGAAAGCCCGGGGCUCAACCUCGGAAUUGCAUUUGAAACUGGCAGGCUAGAGUACUGUAGAGGGGGGUAGAAUUUCAGGUGUAGCGGUGAAAUGCGUAGAGAUCUGAAGGAAUACCGGUGGCGAAGGCGGCCCCCUGGACAGAUACUGACACUCAGAUGCGAAAGCGUGGGGAGCAAACAGGAUUAGAUACCCUGGUAGUCCACGCCGUAAACGAUGUCUACUUGGAGGUUGUGGCCUUGAGCCGUGGCUUUCGGAGCUAACGCGUUAAGUAGACCGCCUGGGGAGUACGGUCGCAAGAUUAAAACUCAAAUGAAUUGACGGGGGCCCGCACAAGCGGUGGAGCAUGUGGUUUAAUUCGAUGCAACGCGAAGAACCUUACCUACUCUUGACAUCCAGAGAACUUAGCAGAGAUGCUUUGGUGCCUUCGGGAACUCUGAGACAGGUGC
rnacentral:rRNA from 1 species